rnacentral:lncRNA from 10 species
GGAAAUCUCCCUGCUUCCGCUGGCCCCGCCUUACUCUGUUGCACCGCCCAGUCGCCCGGCUUUCCACUGAGGGACGCCCCCUGCUCUGGACUGCUUAGCCUACUCCAGCUGGCCCCACCUCACCUCAUCGGCCCCGCCUCCUCCGCUCGCCCACUCCGGGCGCCCACUCCUGAGGAGCUAUCCCAGAGUCCGCGCGGCCUCGCCUUCCCGGCCCGCUCACCACCCCGCCUCGUCCCACCUCGCCUCGCCCUCCCCGGGCUCUAGCCACUUGGUGCGGCAGGUGUCCUGCAGGCCGGCUCGAGAUUCCCGAGCUCGCCCUCGUGGUGUUCCAGGAACACGGUACUUUGCGCUAGCCUGGCCUGUCCUGAGAGACUGCGGGAGGCGAAGAGAACGCGCUGUUGCUGUGGGAAGCGCCGGGGACGGGACAGCUACACCGCCAAACACUUCGCUAGGGAAAGGGCUGGCUGGUUUCGUGCGUAAACAACCGAAAAGGGGAAGUGUCUGGGGGAAAGUGUGUGUGUGUGUGUGUGAAUGCGGAGUCUCGCUCGGGCACCAGGCUGGAGUGCAGUGGCACGGUCUCGGCUUACUACAACCUCCGCCUUCCGGAUUCAAGUGAUUCUGCUGCCUCAGCCUCCCGAAUAGCUGGGAUUACAGUGUUUCAGAAUCACCUGGGAUGAUCUGCAUGAAGAUUCCUGGCCUCCACCAAAGACUUACUGAAUCAGAAAGGAGGCAAGAGGAUGAGGAAUGCUUAAGAAUCUGCAUUAACAAACUUUACAAAUGAAUCUUACAACAUACAGAAGCAUGGAAACUACUGCCUCAAGGGAUUAUCUCAACUUGAGUUUAAACAUAGGAAUUGCUGACUACCUUUAAAAUGUAAAAAUAGUAUCUUUAUGGGAGGGAUGUUGUUUGGGGGCAGCUACUAAAUAGUGAAAUCAUUCCUUUAAAAUACCCUCUCAAGUCUGCCCCAGUUAUCCAUUUUACUGGAUAGUCUUGGUAUCCAGAUGAUUUAGGGAAAAAAAUAGUAGUAGCAAACUCUGAAAACACUCAGUAAAGUUCAUUCUUGGUCUUCUCUUCCUAAAUUUGUUUUCAAUUGUUAGAUUUAAACACUAAACAAGACCAAAAGAGAACUUUAUUUUACAUGUCUUUAUUUUACAUUUAGAACCGUUUUAUGAUUUACUUAAAAAAAAAAUCUUUUAC